UUGUAACUGCACUGAAUAUAGGGUAUCUGCUGGCCAAGUACCGACUAGCGCUCAGUUGUUUUCAUUUUCAUUUUCAUUUGUAUUUAUUAAACGACAGAUUGGCUGAAUGAAAACGCAUUAUUUAAAUUCGCGUGUACAGUGCGUACUCUUAACCGCUUCACAAUCUGCAAACUGUGACAAAAAGCAAUCAAUUUUCAAUCAACCCGCAACCCUUCGAGGCUUUCAACGCACCGCCCACCACCCCCAGCCGCACACUUUGAAUCGGGAAUGUGCAAACGCGCGAACAGACUUGAAAGAUGCCCCCGACAAAAGCGACGACAACAACAACUAUAACAUAUGGCAUGGGUCUCUGGCGACAUCGUCGAUGACAACGGCGACAACAAAAA